rnacentral:rRNA from 1 species
CCUACGGGAGGCAGCAGUGAGGAAUAUUGGUCAAUGGGCGCAAGCCUGAACCAGCCAAGUAGCGUGCAGGAUGACGGCCCUACGGGUUGUAAACUUCUUUUAUACGGGAAUAAAGUGACUCACGUGUAACCUUUUGCAUGUACUUUAUGAAUAAGGAUCGGCUAACUCCGUGCCAGCAGCCGCGGUAAUACGGAAGAUCCGAGCGUUAUCCGGAUUUAUUGGGUUUAACGGGAGCGUAGGUGGGUUGUUAAGGCAGCUGUGAAAGGUCCGGGCUCAACCGGACAAGUGCAAUGGAGACUGGCAGGCGUGAGUACAGUUGAGGGAGGCGGAAUUCGGGGUGUAGCGGUGAAAGGCUUAGAUAUCACGAAGAACUCCGAUUGCGAAGGCAGCCUACUGAACUGCGACUGACGCUGAUGCUCGAAAGCGUGGGUAUCAAACAGGAUUAGAUACCCUAGUAGUC